UACGUAGGGGGCAAGCGUUGUCCGGAAUCAUUGGGCGUAAAGCGCGUGUAGGCGGUCCGGUAAGUCCGCUGUGAAAGUCGGGGGCUUAACCCUCGGAUGCCGGUGGAUACUGUCGGGCUUGAGUACGGAAGAGGCGAGUGGAAUUCCUGGUGUAGCGGUGAAAUGCGCAGAUAUCAGGAGGAACACCAAUUGCGAAGGCAGCUCGCUGGGACGUAACUGACGCUGAGACGCGAAAGCGUGGGGAGCAAACAGG
rnacentral:rRNA from 1 species